rnacentral:lncRNA from 1 species
ACCGACGGCGUCUUCGCGCAGCAGACUGUCCCGGGGCACCGGGCGCGCCGCCGGCGGAAUGGUGGCCGAGCACCUGCGUCGUCGUCUCCUCCCGUUCGCCGGAAUCGGUGUCUCCUCCUUGGCUGUCAAUGGGCUCGCCGCCGCCGGCCCGAGCUCGCCGGCAGUUGCGUUUCACCUCUUCGUGAUGCUUUUGGGCGGUCUGUUUCUGAUUAUUCUGCACGUGCUUCGUGUGUAGUCACCUUGUCCGAUGAUGAGUGCAGUGAAGCAGCCAAAACAUGGAUGUGAUACGAUUAUGAGAGCUACGCUUAGAUUUGAUGGGGGAAUAAUCCAGGAUAUGUGAUGUGUAGGGGUUCUGGAUCUGAAGUCGUUGCUUCGUUCUGUUUUCUCGUGUUCAGUGUGCUGACCGGCCGGGGUCAGGUCAUUUGUCGUGUCAAAAUCUACCAGUGAGCGAAGAACAUGGUCUUUGUAUUAUCAUUCUGUUAACUUUGGUGUUUGUUUACUUUUUAAAUACAAUAUCGAGUAUAUAUAAAGCC